CCAUGUACAGAGGGCUGUUGGCAGUGGAUGAAGGCUUUACUUGGAGAGGUUUGAAGAAAGGGCAGGAUGCAGCUGUUCAUCAAGGGACAGAGAAGCGUGCUGAGAGGACACAAGGCCCCCAGGAUGUAUGACUGCAAGUCCUAUCACUUGCCUGUCUUCCGACACCAUGGACUGAACCCUUGGCUGGAGUCUGAAGAUCCACCAAGCUAUGCUGAAGUUGGGAUCAUUGCUUAUCAGCGACUGCACACCUCGGGAGACAGAAAGUGCAAUUGAGAAGGCUCAAGAUCCAUUGCCUUCAGAAUCACAGCAGACCCCCAGAGUCAUCCAGGAAAAGGUUUGCUCCGACUGAUUUCCUGUGGCCUGCUGAUUGUGGCAGCCCGAAGGGGAAGGUGUUGCCUGGGAAGGACUGACUGUCCCUGUUCAGGAAUCUCAGUGCCUCUGCUUGGUGUCCUACCUCGCGUGCUAGAAAGAGCCCCCUGCUUCCGCCCUCUGUGCCCCAGAAGGACACCAGGUGAAGUUGUGCACUUGAGCUCAGUCAUCGCUAACCCGCCCUCGUCAUACUGCUUCCCAGGGGCCAGAGAUGACUUUGCUAUUCAGCACAGAGGGCCACCCUUCAUCCCUCGCCACCGGGGUCACUUUCAGACAGGCGGGAGAUCAGACCUGAGGGUGACGCCGUCCUCUCUGGGGACACUGCUCACCCACAUCUUGAAUGGGGCAGUUCUGUUGGCCUGAGACGUUGUCAUAUAAUCACCCCUGGACUGGCAGAUAACAAAGUGACAAUGAAAAGCUCUCUUUCUGGGAGAACAGGUGUCUUCAUGAGCAAGGAGCUGAGCUAAGACUCUCCUCUCUUCAGAAGUUCUAUGUGUGCGUUCCUAUCCCUGGCAAUGUACCCCGGUGCCCUGGACCCUGAGCACCAGGGAUGCCCAUGAGGUUGCAGCCACAGGUGGAAUCCACUCAGACAGCUGCACCCCAUCCUCCAGGAGCACCUCUGAGUCGGUGGGGUCAAUCUCACCACACUAACUGCUCCAAAGAGGCUGUGACUGUGAGACUGUUAAUCCUGGUUUUGCAGAUCAAGAAAUUCUCAGCCAGGAGGGAGAUGGGCCCCUGUCAGGGGGCAGCCCUGAGGACCUGCCAGCCCUCUCCUGCCCAGCAGCUACCCCCUCCACCCUAUCCUCUCUACAGCCUAGCAUCCAAGGUUGAGCACUGGUCCGAGACUGAAUAA